UCAUCGCGAGUGCGUUUUUUUUCUUUCUAAGCUUCACUAGCCUCUGGGAAGGAGAAGAUCCUGUGAUCAUUGAAACACAUGCAGCUGAGGUCCCUUCUCCGCCUGCUGGGUCCAGGAGGCA